CUUAAAAAGACUAAAGUGAUUCCUUAUUCUGCCAUCCCAAUCCCAAUACGUCAAACUUUUGGUCGUCUCGUGUUACUCCCGUCCCGCACGGACCUAGCUGGGCCGCUCCAACAUGGGCCACGCUGCACGGCAUGAUCAUCACAUCACCGCCCACACGCCAAGAUCCGUCCGCCGCCGCAUUCCAAGGCGUCUCCGUCUGUCCUCCGCGUCCGCUGCAGACUCCCCACAGCCCGCCCACCCGUGUGGAUCUCGGCUCCCGACGCCGGUGUGGGGGGAUUCCGUAUCGCGCCCCGAGCCGCCGCCUGCCUGCUUGCCGCCGCGAAUCGUCUCCUUCCAUGGGGCCGCCGCCGGGGCUCCGAUUCCGGGUCUGAUUCUCUGCCUUCUUCUAUCCAGUUUCUCUCUGCCGCCGGGUCGAUUUGGGAUCCGUCCGAUCGAGAUUGCUCCGUGAAGUUUUUGGUCCUAGGGAUAUUUUUUGAUUCGCCCCAGAUCAGGAAUAGAGGGUUCUUCUCUGCUCUUUGGGGAGGGAACAGGGAGAUCUAGGGUUGUCGUCUUCUUCUACCUAUCCAUCCAUCGUUCGUUCUCUUGUUCUUCAUAUUCCAUCCAUCAAUCCAUAGAAAAACACAAAAAAAAGAGGAGUAGCAGUAGUAGUAGGGGAUUGAUUAUUUUGGAAGAGGCCAUCUUGGCGGAAUGAAUUAUUGAGCUGACCUCGCUGACGAGGAUAAUGGAUAGGCUGGCGAAGAAGGCGUCGAAGAGGCCCAGCUCUGCGUCCUGCUCCGCCCACGCGGCGCCGUCUUUGGCCUCCCGCGCCGUGUGCACGAACAUCUGGGAAGCAACAGUACAGAAGGGGAGAUGCCUCGGUGUGUGAGAGACCAACAACAACCCAAUCCCCCACCAGGAAAAAAAAGGCAGGGGUAGUGGUAUUAGGGAAGAGGGCGUGAGCUCUUACUUUGGUUCGGCGGUCGAGGUGGACGGUGGCGUUCCCGGCGGUGCCAUCCACCGCGCCCUGCUUGAUUGUUUUGCCGGUUGAUAUCUUGGCUGGAGCGUUUGGAAUCGGCCCUCGCAGGGGAUGAUGGCUGAAAAAAAAAGGAACCGGGAAGAUGUCAAGGUAGGUGACGGUGAGGCUGGCGUUGGUGCCCUGGAGCGCACUCAGACUUUUUGAACUAUCAAAGUCAUAGUAGCAUCAGGAUUCAGGACACGUGUUCCUUGAUGGUUGGGUGCUUGCAGUUUCAGUUUUUGUUGGCAUAUCAUGUGGAAAAAUAGGGUCUGGGAAAAUAUCAUGAGUAUGCCACAGAAGGAGAAGCUGCCGUAGGGAUUGACCGACCAUGACACCAGCUCCUCCUCCCACAGCAGACCUCGAACAUUCGAGAGCUCUGACACGCAGCCACGGCGCCGUGCAUCCUGCCUACAUGGAUGUUCCUGCCAUUUUUGUAAGUACAAGUUAUUUCUGGAGGCAAAUGUGCUGGAAAGAAGUGACAAUCGAACUAUCAUCAACACAUUGAUUAUAUUUAGCAUAAGUAACUGUUUUGGAGAAAAAAUUGGUGGAUCAAAUAGCAUUCAGAUUUAGACAUUUUGUGUGCAUAAGAAAAGCUAUGCAUUGGUGGUUA